rnacentral:rRNA from 1 species
AUUGAACGCUGGCGGCAUGCUUUANACAUGCAAGUCGAACGGCAGCACGGGUGCUUGCACCUGGUGGCGAGUGGCGGACGGGUGAGUAAUACAUCGGAACGUAUCCUAAAGUGGGGGAUAACGCAUCGAAAGAUGUGCUAAUACCGCAUACACUCUGAGGAGGAAAGUAGGGGAUCGAAAGACCUUAUGCUUUUGGAGCGGCCGAUGUCUGAUUAGCUAGUUGGUAAGGUAAUGGCUUACCAAGGCAACGAUCAGUAGUUGGUCUGAGAGGACGACCAGUCACACUGGGACUGAGACACGGCCCAGACUCCUACGGGAGGCAGCAGUGGGGAAUUUUGGACAAUGGGCGCAAGCCUGAUCCAGCAAUGCCGCGUGAGUGAAGAAGGCCUUCGGGUUGUAAAGCUCUUUCAGUUGAGAAGAAAAGAUUGUGACUAAUAAUUGCAAUUCAUGACGGUAUCAACAGAAGAAGCACCGGCUAACUACGUG